rnacentral:rRNA from 1 species
UACGGAGGGGGCUAGCGUUGUUCGGAAUUACUGGGCGUAAAGCGCACGUAGGCGGCUUUGCAAGUUAGAGGUGAAAGCCCGGGGCUCAACUCCGGAAUUGCCUUUAAAACUGCAUCGCUAGAAUUGUGGAGAGGUAAGUGGAAUUCCGAGUGUAGAGGUGAAAUUCGUAGAUAUUCGGAGGAACACCAGUGGCGAAGGCGGCUCACUGGUCCAUUACUGACGCUGAGGUGCGAAAGCGUGGGGAGCAAACAGG